rnacentral:rRNA from 1 species
CCUACGGGAGGCAGCAGUGAGGAAUAUUGGUCAAUGGCCGGAAGGCUGAACCAGCCAUGCCGCGUGAAGGUCAGUGCCCUAUGGGCGUUAAACUUCUUUUGUGCGGGAGCAAUAAUGGUCACGUGUGGCCAGACGAGAGUACCGUACGAAUAAGCAUCGGCUAACUCCGUGCCAGCAGCCGCGGUAAUACGGGGGAUGCAAGCGUUAUCCGGAUUUUUUGGGUUUAAAGGGUACGUAAGCUGUGAGGUAAGUCAGCGGUGAAAUGCCCUCGGUGAACGGGGUGAAGUGCAAUUGAUACUGGCUGGCUGGAAUGCGGAUGCGGUAGGAGGAAUGUGUGGUGUAGCGGUGAAAUGCAUAGAUAUCACACAGAACACCGAUUGCGAAGGCAGCUCACGAAUCCGCGAUUGACGCUGAUGCACGAAAGCGUGGGUAUCAAACAGGAUUAGAUACCCUAGUAGUC